AGGCUACCAGGUUGAUGUUUUAGGUUCUGCAAAGGUCAAUGCCAGUGGCCUAAAUGCUGAAACAUAUUUCUAUGUUUUCAUUGCUAGAAGCAUUCUUUCCAUCAAAAUAUGAACAUUGACAGAGCUCUGGAUUCUUCAAAGUAUGAAAACUCCUGCCAACAUGGAAGUCUCUCAUGAAGUCUGCUUUCUUUGGCAAGCAAACCAGUUCCCAGUGUGCAACGUGGAGAUGUCAGCAGCAGGGUUUGACAAAAUCAACUCAUAAAGAGAGACCUUGACUUUUGGCCUAGACUUGAAAGACAAGAGUAAAGCAUUGCAGCAAACAUACCCAGGUCAGGCCAUCAUACUUCUGCAAGACAACAAAGAAAUUAUGGUAGCAGUACGUCCUUUGUAUCCAAGAAUUAAUGGGUCAAGUUUAAUGGCUAUAUUAUACUUAUUGAUUCAGAGGAAGCUUUCUUAAGCUUAUAUAAUUGAGAAGGGCUACCAAGAAGACAUUUAUGAAGCAGCAAUGAAGAGCACGUUCUUAUCCACUAGGAAUAAGAUAGAUUUUAUUGAUGGGCCUGAUGGUUUAUAUAUUUGUAUAAAAUUGCUACAGAGACAUGAUCAUGAUGCCUGAGCCACAUAUAAAGAGGGGGAGCACAUGGCCAUGCGGUAUUAAAGUGACACAGGUACAAACACUUUGUGAAAAGAAUGGUCACCGCGCGCGAAGAUUCCAGAAAGGAUAAUAUAGCAGUAAGCUCGCGAGCGUUCAUAGCCGAAGCCCAUUCUCAUCACCGCGAAGGGUCGCGAGCAGGUUGAAGACUUCACGAGGCAGAGAGUAAAUGCAACAAAUAAAAAUACUUCGUGAAGAACUUUCAUCAAGCUCACUCAGAUUUCGUCCUCAUCAAGAUCUUCCUCGAGGGGAUUUGCUCCUUAUUAGGAUCCUCCUUAUGGAGAUUUUCGCAAGCUGAUAGUCAAUAAAUCUUCGCGAGGUCUUCCAAAUCUUUGCGAGGUCUUGCAUUUGUUCGCGAGCUCAAGGCAAAUAUCAGAGAAACCUUCGCGAGGAAUGUGUGUUCGCGAAGCACAUUUAAAUCAAGCUUACUGAGAUUUCUCCUCAAGGACAUUUGCUCCUCAUUUAGAUCUUCCUUGAGAAGAUUUCUAUCUUCUUCGAGGGGAUUUGUCCUCGAGGGGAUUUGCUCCUUACUGAGAUUUCUCUUCAGAGAAGUUUUGGGGAAGAUAUCAUUUUUAAGGCCAACACCUGUGGCUUUUAAGUUUUUACCAAAGUUUUACUUUUCCAAUAUUCUUGCUCAAAACUUAUGUAGUGUUUUAAGCUCUUUAAGGCCAAUUCCAGUGGCCUAAAAAUAAAAGUUUUUCAUCAAGUUGGUGAUA